AUUGAACGCUGGCGGCAGGCCUAACACAUGCAAGUCGAGCGGAGCGGCGGACGGGGGCGUAAUGCCUAGGAAUCUGCCAGGUAGUGGGGGAUAACGUCCGGAAACGGGCGCUAAUACCGAUACCUCUCAGAUUAGCCUAGGUCGGAUUAGUUAGUUGGUGGGGUAAAGGACUACCAAGGCGACGAUCCCUAACUGGUCUGAGUGGAUGAUCAGUCACACUGGGACUGAGACACGGUCCAGACCCCUACGGGAGGCAGGCGGGGGGAAUAUUGGACAAUGGGCGAAAGCCUGAUCCAGCCAUGCCGCGUGUGUGAAGAAGGUCUUCGGAGUUUAAAGCACUUUAAGUUGGGAGGCGUUACCAACAGAAUAAGCACCGGCUAACUUCGUGCCAGCCGCCGCGGUAAUUC
rnacentral:rRNA from 1 species